UAGUCAUAUGCUUGUCUCAAAGAUUAAGCCAUGCAUGUCUAAGUAUAAAUAAUAUACAGUGAAACUGCGAAUGGCUCAUUAAAACAGUUAUAGUUUAUUCGAUAAUCAAAAUUACAUGGAUAACCGUAGUAAUUCUAGAGCUAAUACAUGCUGCAAGACCUGACUCACGAAGGGUUGUAUUUAUUAGAUAUAAACCAAUACCUUAGGGUGUUGUGAUGAUUCAUAAUAACUGAGCGAAUCGAGGCCGUGCCUUGAUGGAUCGUUCAAGUUUCUGCCCUAUCAGCUUUCGAUGGUAGUGUAUUGGACUACCAUGGCAGUCACGGGUAACGGGGAAUUAGGGUUCGAUUCCGGAGAGGGAGCCUGAGAAAUGGCUACCACAUCCAAGGAUGGCAGCAGGCGCGCAAAUUACCCACUCCCAGCUUGGGGAGGUAGUGACGAAAAAUAACAAUGCGGGACUCUAAGAGGCCCCGUAACUGGAAUGAGUACACCUUAAAUCGUUUAACGAGUAUCAAUU
rnacentral:rRNA from 1 species